AUCAGUCGGCACCAGCAGCUCGUACUGCUCCAGCAGCAACUCCAAAUUAAUUAAAGGAUGACGGUUAACUUGAGUCAGACUACAGUGACCUGUGGAACCACCUGUCUGACUAAGGAGUGCUCAGCAAAAUGUCCAUGAUAGUACACUACCACUCACUGUUCAUCUAACCUACUUUGGUGAGGUUAUGGAAGGUUUAGUUGUCCAUUUUGACUGGUUGGUACAGCAGUGGGCUUGUUCCUUGCAGGUUGAUGUUCGAUCCACAAUGGUGCAAGUGGAAUGGUGUCUGUUCGUUCACUCAAUCUUGGUAUCCGAGCUUCUUGUCCACACAUCCCUUCAAAAUGCUAUGACGUUAUGACCGACACGAGCGCAUGAUAUUGAGAAGCUGGGUACUGUAGAAAGUACACGUUGAGGGAAUGAAGGUGUCCGAGGAGGCUUUGUGGUUUGGUCGUGUUCCAGGAAUGUGAAGGCUCUACUUGAAGUGUGAUGUAUGAAUCACAGAAGAGUUGAUCAGAGAUGAAUGGAAAAUGUCGACAAAUGACUGCAUUGUGUGAGGCGAGAUUGUCGUUACUUAAAGCAUCAUACGACAGAUGAAGCAAUGUGAUGGAGUGCAGUGUUUUUGAUCGAAGGCAUCUUAAAUGAAACUUUAUAAAUUGGGCAAACACUUUGAGUGGGGG